UACAGAGGUCCCGAGCGUUGUUCGGAUUCACUGGGCGUAAAGGGUGCGUAGGCGGUCGGGUAAGUCUGAUGUGAAAUCUCACAGCUUAACUGUGAAACUGCAUUGGAUACUAUUCGGCUUGAGGUCUGGAGGGGGGACUGGAAUUCUCGGUGUAGCAGUGAAAUGCGUAGAUAUGUGGAGGAAUACCGAUGGCGAAGGCAGCCCCCUGGGAUAACACUGACGCUCAUGCACGAAAGCGUGGGGAGCAAACAGG
rnacentral:rRNA from 1 species